UACGUAGGGGGCAAGCGUUGUCCGGAAUCAUUGGGCGUAAAGCGCACGUAGGCGGUUCGUUAUGUCGGAUGUGAAAGCCCUUGGCUUAACCGAGGAAGUGCAUCCGAAACUGGCGAGCUAGAGUACUAAAGAGGAUCGCGGAAUUCCCGGUGUAGAGGUGAAAUUCGUAGAUAUCGGGAGGAACACCGGUGGCGAAGGCGGCGAUCUGGGUAGAUACUGACGCUGAGGUGCGAAAGCGUGGGGAGCAAACAGG
rnacentral:rRNA from 1 species